rnacentral:lncRNA from 1 species
CUUAAAUACCACUUCCUGAUUCCAUUCCUUCUUCCACCUCCAGGAGGCAACCACUCCUAAACUCUGUACCAAUCUUUAUACUGAGAAAAUUAAUUGUUUAGUUUUGCCUUUUUUGAAUCUAAUAUAAACAAAAUGACGGGGAUGAAUUCUUUGGCAACGUGUUUCCUCCUCUUAGUCUCAUGUUUGUGAGAUUCAUCUAUGUUGACGUGUAUGGCUGAAGUUCAUUAACUUUUAUCACUGUGUAAUAGUCUAUCGUAUGAGCAUAUCCCAGUUUAUUUAUCCAAUCUAUUGUUGACCCUCAUUUGUGUUGCUUCCACUUUUAGCCAUUUUGAAUAAAGCUGCUGUGAACAUUCUUGAGACAGCUCCUGGCGCACAUGUUCAAGAAGAAAGCAUCAACUGGAGAGACUUCCACCCAUGUUGACUCCUGGGCAGAACGUUCACUCAGCAGACGGUAUAGUCCAGCUCAAGACACCCUGGUGGCUCUUGUCUGGUACGCAGCAUACAGAGGCUCUUCUGCAGGCCGCAGGGAAGUUCCUCUAGAACAAUAAAGCACAGUACGAUACUGCUGAACAAGCGUUAUCACCCCUGGAGAAGUCAAGAAACAUGAGAGCUCCACAUAUCAAUUGCUCUAAGCUGCAAAGGUCCUACCAUGGGCCCUGUACUCAUUGGGAAGGAACAGUGGGGUGGCAAGGUAUUUAUGUCAACUGGGUCACGGUCAGUCACAGGAAAACAGAAUCCAGGGCUGGACCCAGCUUUGACUCGAGAUUGGGAGCUGGUACAUUUACACCAAAAACACAGUGAACUCUACAAUCUACCGUGUCCUGUGCCAGAGGAAGAACACAGCCAACCAUUGCUCCAGGAAUCUGGAAGAUGGAGAAUUGGACCAUCAGAGGCCAGGGUGAUCAAGAAAGUCUUUGUGAUGUGGGUGAGAGUAUCUUGAAACUGUAGAACUGAAUGGAAAUUUGUUAACUGAAUAUUUGAUUUUCUUUAGGAACAUGUCUUAAGAAAAUAGUCCCUAUUUUCACUGGAAUGAGCAUCUAUGCUUUUUUUCUCAGAUCGUCUGAAUUCUUUCUCAAAGAUCUCUAUAGGACAAUGUUCUGAUGCCCUCUGGCGCUAACAGUUUCCUAACACAAAUACUGAGUCACUACUAUUUGUAUUCUCAGAGCCUAACCUACUG